rnacentral:rRNA from 1 species
UGAGCAAUCUGCCCUUCUCAUCGGAAUAAGCGUUGGAAACGACGUCUAAUACCGAAUACGACCUCCUUUCGCAUGAUCGGAGGUGGAAAGCUCCGGCGGAGAAGGAUGAGCUCGCGGCCUAUCAGCUAGUUGGUGUGGGUAAUGGCCCACCAAGGCGACGACGGGUAGCCGGCCUGAGAGGGUGACCGGCCACACUGGGACUGAGACACGGCCCAGACCUCCGUACGGGGAG